CCUACGGGAGGCAGCAGUGGGGAAUAUUGCACAAUGGGCGCAAGCCUGAUGCAGCGACGCCGCGUGCGGGAUGACGGCCUUCGGGUUGUAAACCGCUUUUGAUCGGGAGCAAGCCUUCGGGUGAGUGUACCUUUCGAAUAAGCACCGGCUAACUACGUGCCAGCAGCCGCGGUAAUACGUAGGGUGCAAGCGUUAUCCGGAAUUAUUGGGCGUAAAGGGCUCGUAGGCGGUUCGUCGCGUCCGGUGUGAAAGUCCAUCGCUUAACGGUGGAUCUGCGCCGGGUACGGGCGGGCUGGAGUGCGGUAGGGGAGACUGGAAUUCCCGGUGUAACGGUGGAAUGUGUAGAUAUCGGGAAGAACACCAAUGGCGAAGGCAGGUCUCUGGGCCGUUACUGACGCUGAGGAGCGAAAGCGUGGGGAGCGAACAGGAUUAGAUACCCUGGUAGUCCACGCCGUAAACGGUGGAUGCUGGAUGUGGGGCCCGUUCCACGGGUUCCGUGUCGGAGCUAACGCGUUAAGCAUCCCGCCUGGGGAGUACGGCCGCAAGGCUAAAACUCAAAGAAAUUGACGGGGGCCCGCACAAGCGGCGGAGCAUGCGGAUUAAUUCGAUGCAACGCGAAGAACCUUACCUGGGCUUGACAUGUUCCCGACGGUCGUAGAGAUACGGCUUCCCUUCGGGGCGGGUUCACAGGUGGUGCAUGGUCGUCGUCAGCUCGUGUCGUGAGAUGUUGGGUUAAGUCCCGCAACGAGCGCAACCCUCGCCCCGUGUUGCCAGCGGAUUAUGCCGGGAACUCACGGGGGACCGCCGGGGUUAACUCGGAGGAAGGUGGGGAUGACGUCAGAUCAUCAUGCCCCUUACGUCCAGGGCUUCACGCAUGCUACAAUGGCCGGUACAACGGGAUGCGACACGGCGACGUGGAGCGGAUCCCUGAAAACCGGUCUCAGUUCGGAUUGGAGUCUGCAACCCGACUCCAUGAAGGCGGAGUCGCUAGUAAUCGCGGAUCAGCAACGCCGCGGUGAAUGCGUUCCCGGGCCUUGUACACACCGCCCGUCAAGUCAUGAAAGUGGGUAGCACCCGAAGCCGGUGGCCUAACCCUUUGUGGAUGGAGCCGUCUAAGGUGAGACUCGUGAUUGGGACUAAGUCGUAACAAGGUAGCCGUACCGGAAGGUGCGGCUG
rnacentral:rRNA from 1 species